rnacentral:rRNA from 1 species
UUGACUGGGGCGGUCUCCUCCCAAAGAGUAACGGAGGAGCACGAAGGUGGGCUAAUCACGGUUGGACAUCGUGAGGUUAGUGCAAUGGCAUAAGCCCGCUUAACUGCGAGAAUGACGGUUCGAGCAGGUGCGAAAGCAGGUCAUAGUGAUCCGGUGGUUCUGUAUGGAAGGGCCAUCGCUCAACGGAUAAAAGGUACUCCGGGGAUAACAGGCUGAUACCGCCCAAGAGUUCAUAUCGACGGCGGUGUUUGGCACCUCGAUGUCGGCUCAUCACAUCCUGGGGCUGAAGUCGGUCCCAAGGGUAUGGCUGUUCGCCAUUUAAAGUGGUACGCGAGCUGGGUUUAGAACGUCGUGAGACAGUUCGGUCCCUAUCUGCCGUGGGCGUUGGAAGAUUGAAGGGGGCUGCUCCUAGUACGAGAGGACCGGAGUGGACGAACCUCUGGUGUUCGGGUUGUGUCGCCAGACGCAUUGCCCGGUAGCUAAGUUCGGAAUUGAUAAGCGCUGAAAGCAUCUAAGCGCGAAGCGAGCCCUGAGAUGAGUCUUCCCUGAUACUUUAAGUAUCCUAAAGGGUUGUUCGAGACUAGAACGUUGAUAGGCAGGGUGUGUAAGCGUUGUGAGGCGUUGAGCUAACCUGUACUAAUUGCCCGUGAGGCUUAACCAUACAACACCCA